GCCCGGUUAGCUCAGUUGGUAGCUAGAGCGCAAGGCUCUUAACCUUGUGGUCGUGGGUUCGAGCCUACAUUGGGCG